ACCUACUGACUUUGAGCCUUAGACGCA
rnacentral:piRNA from 1 species